CCUACGGGUGGCAGCAGUGAGGAAUAUUGGUCAAUGGGCGAAAGCCUGAACCAGCCAAGUCGCGUGAAGGAUGACGGCCCUACGAGUUGUAAACUUCUUUUGUCAGGGAGCAAUUUAGUCCACGUGUGGUCUUAGCGAUUGUACCUGACUAAAAAGCAUCGGCUAACUCCGUUCCAGCAGCCGCGGUAAUACGGAGGAUGCGAGUGUUAUCCGGAGUUAUUGGGUUUAAAGGGUGCGUAGGCGGAAUAUCAAGUCAGCGGUAAAUAUUCGGGGCUAAAGCCCGUCGUGCCGGUGAAACUGAUGUACUUGAGUGGGCGAGAGGUAUGCGGAAUGCGUGGUGUAGCGGUGAAAUGCAUAGAUAUCACGAAGAACGCCGAUUGCGAAGGCAGCAAACCGGCGCCCAACUGACGCGGAAGCACGAAAGCGUGGGUAUCGAACAGGAUUAGAUACCCCUGUAGUC
rnacentral:rRNA from 1 species